rnacentral:rRNA from 1 species
AGUGAACGCUGGCGGUAGGCCUAACACAUGCAAGUCGAACGGCAGCACAGUAAGAGCUUGCUCUUACGGGUGGCGAGUGGCGGACGGGUGAGGAAUACAUCGGAAUCUACUUUUUCGUGGGGGAUAACGUAGGGAAACUUACGCUAAUACCGCAUACGACCUACGGGUGAAAGCAGGGGAUCUUCGGACCUUGCGCGAUUGAAUGAGCCGAUGUCGGAUUAGCUAGUUGGCGGGGUAAAGGCCCACCAAGGCGACGAUCCGUAGCUGGUCUGAGAGGAUGAUCAGCCACACUGGAACUGAGACACGGUCCAGACUCCUAAGGGAGGCAGCAGUGGGGAAUAUUGGACAAUGGGCGCAAGCCUGAUCCAGCCAUACCGCGUGGGUGAAGAAGGCCUUCGGGUUGUAAAGCCCUUUUGUUGGGAAAGAAAAGCAGCAGGUUAAUACCCCGCUGUUCCGACGGUACCCAAAGAAUAAGCACCGGCUAACUUCGUG